GUAGCAUGGUCCCUGCAGAAGGAUGACAUGCAAAUUUGUGAAGUAUGCCAUAUUUUU
ensembl:snRNA U6 U6 spliceosomal RNA